GACGAACGCUGGCGGCGUGCUUAACACAUGCAAGUCGAACGAUGAAGCCUAGCUUGCUAGGUGGAUUAGUGGCGAACGGGUGAGUAAUACGUGAGUAACCUACCUUUAACUCUGGGAUAAGCCCGGGAAACUGGGUCUAAUACCGGAUACGACCAAUCUCCGCAUGGGGUGUUGGUGGAAAGCGUUAUGUAGUGGUUAUAGAUGGGCUCACGGCCUAUCAGCUUGUUGGUGAGGUAACGGCUCACCAAGGCGACGACGGGUAGCCGGCCUGAGAGGGUGACCGGCCACACUGGGACUGAGACACGGCCCAGACUCCUACGGGAGGCAGCAGUGGGGAAUAUUGCACAAUGGGCGCAAGCCUGAUGCAGCGACGCCGCGUGAGGGAUGACGGCCUUCGGGUUGUAAACCUCUGUUAGCAGGGAAGAAGAGAGAUUGACGGUACCUGCAGAGAAAGCGCCGGCUAACUACGUGCCAGCAGCCGCGGUAAUACGUAGGGCGCGAGCGUUGUCCGGAAUUAUUGGGCGUAAAGAGCUUGUAGGCGGUUUGUCGCGUCUGCUGUGAAAGGCCGGGGCUUAACCCCGUGUAUUGCAGUGGGUACGGGCAGACUAGAGUGCAGUAGGGGAGACUGGAACUCCUGGUGUAGCGGUGGAAUGCGCAGAUAUCAGGAAGAACACCGAUGGCGAAGGCAGGUCUCUGGGCUGUAACUGACGCUGAGAAGCGAAAGCAUGGGGAGCGAACAGG
rnacentral:rRNA from 1 species